GGAUCGUUUUUCUGUUCUGAACUGUCAGUUCAAACCUCAUUCUGAGUGCUUUUGCUUGUCUAGCAUUGGCUUCAUAUCUGUAUUCCCUGCCUGUGUGUGUAUUGGACUGGGUGGCCACUCACAUUUUCUCGUGUCAUCCCAGACAUCACACGUAUGUCAUUUCCCUGUAUGUCAGCACAGUUUGAGUCCCACACAUUCUUUCAUUUGUGUCGUGCAUGACCCAGCAACUUGCGAAUAAACUACAGGGGCUGCUUACAACAGACCCUAGAAGGAAUUCUGAAGGCUCCCAAUUCUUAGCGUCGAAACAAU